CUUCCAAUUUCCACCGCAAAAUGCGCCCCCUUCCCAUCCUUAUCCUCUCGAGCUUUUCCUCUUCUCGCUCUCCAAUUCCUAUCCAUUUCCUCGCGCCUGCAACUGCUCGCGUCGCUUCCUCCGUUCUUGCGGCUCGACGAAGCCGUCCUCGGUCGAUUUGUCGCUACGAUGAAUUGCUAUGAGCAGAGAAUUGGAGGGUCCAUGUGCCAAGGGAGCGUGUGAUUUGGAAGAUGGAUUCACAGUCGGAGCAAGUCCACUGACGAGACUGCGGGACUCUGCAAGGCGACUUCCCCCCGCGAAUUGGGAAAAAAGCUCAAAACUUUGAGCCCGGUGCACUUGUUUGCCGACGUGCCGUGUCCGGUUUUUAGCUGCGGAAUGAUUUGUAUGAGUUCUGCUGCAUUCGCACAGCAGCAGUUUAACUGGAUGGCUAAAGUCUCUCUGGAUACCUCAUAGCGAUGGCUCCAGUUUCUAAUAGCUAAACUCGAUUCACAGCCCCUGUUUCCUUGUUUUUCUGGUUGUGCUCAACUUUGUUUCCAGCAUCUCUUAGCA